rnacentral:lncRNA from 1 species
GAAAAAAGUGAGGUUGGAGAUCAUGGGCCUGGCUGUAGGCUCCCUAUUGAAUAACUUAUUCUUUUUUAUCACUGUUGUACUUUUAAUUACUUGGUCUGUAGUAACUUGUAAUGAAUAAUGGGGUUUAUAGUGAAAUUGGGAGGGUUAUGCAUGCUUAGCUAAGGGGAAUGGGUAGAAAACAUGUUAUAGGAUUUUACUUAUCUAUUUGCGCAAUAGAAAUCAUGCUUUAGGACAUGCAUCUUCACAUAUAGAAAUCUUGUUCUUUAGGCCUCUUGCUUUCAGUUUUCUAUAACACUAAUUGAUCAACAAUCGAAUACAUGCGUCUUAACAUAUAGAAAUCUUGUUCUUUAGGCCUCUUGCUUUCAGUUUGUUAUAACUCUAAUUAAUCAAUAAUCAACGAAUCAUCACCGUCACAUUUAGAUACCAUGCUUAUAGGACUUCCUAUGCAUUAGAUAUAAUGCCAUUAGGAUUUUAUUUGUAGAUGUUUAAACACUUCGCUAAUUUGGAUAAAACAGGUUAACAACUCCUAAAACUGGAAACCAUUGUAUGCUCACCAUCUUUAAUAACGCCUAGGCAAACCUCAGGCCGGAUAAAAACUGACUAAUCACCUUUAAAUUGUGUUCAAAUUAAUCCGCCUCUUUCUGAACUCGUUUUGUCUCUGAACCUUUCUAAUUUUUUAUAAAAACUUCUGUCCUAUUUU